GGAUGUGAGGGCGAUCUGGCUGCGACAUCUGUCACCCCAUUGAUCGCCAGGGUUGAUUCGGCUGAUCUGGCUGGCUAGGCGGGUGUCCCCUUCCUCCCUCACGGCUCCAUGUGCGUCCCUCCCGAAGCUGCGCGCUCGGUGGAAGAGGACGACCGUCCCAGAUAGAAGGAGUGUACCGUUCUUUGGUCAAGGGUAUACGAUAGCUGCGCUCCCCUGCUAGAACCUCCAAACAAGUUCAUGGUAAGGGGUUUGAUGCAGGUAAGUGGCCCAUCCAAGUUGAGCAGAGUCAUUGCGGCUCCUUCAU